rnacentral:rRNA from 1 species
UUGACCUCGGAUCAGGUAGGGAUACCCGCUGAACUUAAGCAUAUCAAUAAGCGGAGGAAAAGAAACCAACAGGGAUUGCCCCAGUAACGGCGAGUGAAGCGGCAAGAGCUCAAAUUUGAAAGCUGGCUCCUUCGGGGUCCGCAUUGUAAUUUGCAGAGGAUGCUUCGGGAGCGGUCCCCAUCUAAGUGCCCUGGAACGGGACGUCAUAGAGGGUGAGAAUCCCGUAUGGGAUGGGGUGUCCGCGCCCGUGUGAAGCUCCUUCGACGAGUCGAGUUGUUUGGGAAUGCAGCUCUAAAUGGGUGGUAAAUUUCAUCUAAAGCUAAAUAUUGGCCGGAGACCGAUAGCGCACAAGUAGAGUGAUCGAAAGAUGAAAAGCACUUUGAAAAGAGAGUUAAAAAGCACGUGAAAUUGUUGAAAGGGAAGCGCUUGCGACCAGACUCGCUCGCGGGGUUCAGCCGGCAUUCGUGCCGGUGUAUUUCCCCGCGGGCGGGCCAGCGUCGGUUUGGGCGGUCGGUCAAAGGCCCUCGGAAGGUAACGCCCCUAGGGGCGUCUUAUAGCCGAGGGUGCAAUGCGACCUGCCUAGACCGAGGAACGCGCUUCGGCUCGGACGCUGGCAUAAUGGU